CGAAGGCUUCGGCCUUAGUGGCGCACGGGUGCGUAACGCGUGGGAAUCUGCCCUCAGGUUCGGAAUAACAGCGAGAAAUUGCUGCUAAUACCGGAUGAUAUCGCGAGAUCAAAGAUUUAUCGCCUGAGGAUGAGCCCGCGUAGGAUUAGCUAGUUGGUGUGGUAAAGGCGCACCAAGGCGACGAUCCUUAGCUGGUCUGAGAGGAUGAUCAGCCACACUGGGACUGAGACACGGCCCAGACUCCUACGGGAGGCAGCAGUGGGGAAUAUUGGACAAUGGGCGAAAGCCUGAUCCAGCAAUGCCGCGUGAGUGAUGAAGGCCUUAGGGUUGUAAAGCUCUUUUACCCGGGAUGAUAAUGACAGUACCGGGAGAAUAAGCUCCGGCUAACUCCGUGCCAGCAGCCGCGGUAAUACGGAGGGAGCUAGCGUUAUUCGGAAUUACUGGGCGUAAAGCGCACGUAGGCGGCUUUGUAAGUUAGAGGUGAAAGC
rnacentral:rRNA from 1 species